AUCCUUUUGUAGUUCUUAAGUGUGAUGACUGUGGGCCUCCCUCAAACCUUGUUAUGAUGUCGGCCCAUUACCCGUCUGACA
ensembl:snoRNA